rnacentral:rRNA from 1 species
AUUGAACGCUGGCGGAAUGCUUUACACAUGCAAGUCGAACGGUAGAGGGGGCAACCCCUUGAGAGUGGCGAACGGGUGAGUAAUAUAUCGGAACGUGCCCAGUCGUGGGGAUAACGUAGCGAAAGUUACGCUAAUACCGCAUACGAUCUACGGAUGAAAGCGGGGGAUCGCAAGACCUCGCGCGAUUGGAGCGGCCGAUAUCAGAUUAGGUAGUUGGUGAGGUAAUGGCUCUCCAAGGCGACGAUCCGUAACUGGUCUGAGAGGAUGAUCAGUCACACUGGGACUGAGACACGGCCCAGACUCCUACGGGAGGCAGCAGUGGGGAAUAUUGGGCAAUGGACGAAAGUCUGACCCAGCCAUGCCGCGUGAAUGAUGAAGGCCUUAGGGUUGUAAAGGUUCUUUA